UUCUUGAGCCACUGUAGCAGCACAAGAAUAGGGGGCGACUGCCGGGAUGGAAGCAGAGGUGGGGGGAGCCGCGGGAAGAACGAGAACCUGUCAACCUGAGUAGAGGAGAGAAACGAGAAGAACGGGAAAGAGAAAUAGAAAGGAGAGGAGGGCCGUGAGAAAAGGAGAGGACCGGGAUUUUUGAAAUCUUUUCCACUGAAUAUCCAACCUGAUUGUUCUCUGUGGAAGCAGCAGUAAUCAUCUGAGGGCACAUGAAAGAGAGAUAUCUAUGGGCAACAUGAAACAGGCUUGUUGGAUUACCUGCAUGGAAAUUCAAUGGAGCCAAGAAGAUGAACCAUGGGUUGUACUGGAGACCUGAUGGAGAUAUCAAGACUAAGGAGACCUACUGGUACUGGGUGAAGUUUUCCUGGACUGAGUAGCCUAACUGGAGAGAUAGAAUUGGAACUCCAGAGACUCGUCACUGAUUAGAAUUACUACACUUGGAGACUUGACACUCAUUAGAGUUACUGGACUUAGAACUACAGAGUAUGAUGUUUACCCUGUUUUCGUUUAAUAUUUCUGUGUUAUGAACAAUGUUAUCUUUUAUAGUGUGAAUACUUACUCUGUGCCAUUAUAGUCUUUGUUUGUUUGUUUGUUUCUCUCUUUCUAUCUUUUGGUAUUGUGGCUCAGUU